rnacentral:rRNA from 1 species
GUGGGGAAUAUUGCACAAUGGAGGAAACUCUGAUGCAGCGACGCCGCGUGAAUGAUGAAGGCCUUCGGGUCGUAAAGUUCUGUCCUUGGGGAAGAUAAUGACGGUACCCAAGGAGGAAGCCCCGGCUAACUACGUGCCAGCAGCCGCGGUAAUACGUAGGGGGCGAGCGUUGUCCGGAAUUAUUGGGCGUAAAGGGUUCGCAGGCGGUCUGAUAAGUCAGAUGUGAAAGGCUAUGGCUUAACCAUAGUAAGCAUUUGAAACUGUCAGACUUGAGUUAAGGAGAGGAAAGUGGAAUUCCUAGUGUAGCGGUGAAAUGCGUAGAUAUUAGGAGGAAUACCAGUGGCGAAGGCGACUUUCUGGACUUAAACUGACGCUGAGGAACGAAAGCGUGGGGAGCAAACAGGAUUAGAAACCCUAGUAGUCC